GAUGAACGCUGGCGGCGUGCCCAAUACAUGCAAGUCGAGCGAACAGACGAGGAGCUUGCUCCUCUGACGUUAGCGGCGGACGGGUGAGUAACACGUGGAUAACCUACCUAUAAGACUGGGAUAACUUCGGGAAACCGGAGCUAAUACCGGAUAAUAUAUUGAACCGCAUGGUUCAAUAGUGAAAGACGGUUUUGCUGUCACUUAUAGAUGGAUCCGCGCCGCAUUAGCUAGUUGGUAAGGUAACGGCUUACCAGGGCAACGAUGCGUAGCCGACCUGAGAGGGUGAUCGGCCACACUGGAACUGAGACACGGUCCAGACUCCUACGGGAGGCAGCAGUAGGGAAUCUUCCGCAAUGGGCGAAAGCCUGACGGAGCAACGCCGCGUGAGUGAUGAAGGUCUUCGGAUCGUAAAACUCUGUUAUUAGGGAAGAACAAAUGUGUAAGUAACUAUGCACGUCUUGACGGUACCUAAUCAGAAAGCCACGGCUAACUACGUG
rnacentral:rRNA from 1 species